rnacentral:lncRNA from 1 species
AAAUAUUCUCAGUCUUUGUUCUUUUGUUCCUGUUUGUACAAAACGAGCUAAUGUCAGUUUGGAUUAUUAACGCUCAGUCUUCACUGAUCAAUCUGACGCUCAGCAUAUAACUCGUUAAAAUGUCAUCAAUUACUAGAAUUAUCUACGAAAUAGAAACUGAGUUUUAUGUAUAUUUUGAUAAUGGCGAUAUUAAACGUGAAAAAUUGGCUUUACAAGCAAUUGAUUAUGAAACAUAUCUAGACGCUGUUAAUUUGCAUCGAAAGAACUACAUGGCCAAGAAUUGGAUUCAUUCCCAGACUCAGUUGCUGCACGAGAAGACCAUUUUAAAUGAGCAGCAAUUCAAUGACAUUCUCAAGAAACACAUUUCUACUCCUAAAACUAUCUCUAUGGAAGUUCAUAUUUGUGUGGAAAAACCUAAUUCUGGAUGGCAUAGGUUUAUUCCUGAAGAAAGCAGAAAACUGUACUCUUUUGAAUUUUGAUCAAUACAUUUUUGUUUCCACUUCA